rnacentral:misc_RNA from 1 species
UCCGGUUUGACACCGGCAGUCUCGCUAGAGUACUAGCUUGCGCUGAGCAACUAACGAUAGGGGUUGCGCUCGUUAGAGGACUUAACCCGACGCUUCACAGCACGAGCUGACGACAGCCAUGCAGCACCUGUGACCGUUGUACCCUUGCGGGCCUACACCUACUUUCAUAGGUUUAAUCCGGCCAUGUCAAGCCCAGGUAAGGUUCUUCGCGUUGCCUCGAAUUAAGCAACAUGCUCCACCGCUUGUGUGAGCCCCCGUCAAUUCAUUUGAGUUUUAGCCUUGCGACCGUACUCCCCAGGCGGUAUGCUUAUCGUUUUCACGUCGACCGAUACGGCGUCAAAACCGCACCGAUCUAGCAUACAUCGUUUACGGCGUGGACUAC